CGGCCGCACACGUGGGCCCGGCGCCGCCCCCCGCGGCCCACCCCCGGCCGCCCCCGCCGGGAGGGAGCCGGGAUAAGUGGCGGCGCGGACGCCGCGCCCUGUCUCCGGAGCGGCGGCGCGCAGCUCUCGGUCCCAGCCGCAGACGAGGACUCGGCGCUCGUGGCCGCACCUGAAGAUCCUUUCAGAAUGCCAGAGGAACGUCCCCCCAGGCUGACCCCGCAGAACGUUCCCUACCAGGACCUCCCUCACCUGGUCAACGCUGACGGGCAGCACCUCUUCUGCCGGUACUGGAGACCCUCGAGCGCGCCCAGGGCCCUGGUGUUCGUGUCCCACGGAGCCGGCGAGCACUGCGGCCGCUACGACGAGCUGGCACAGAUGCUGGUGGGGCUGGGCCUGCUGGUCUUCGCCCACGACCACGUUGGCCACGGGCAGAGCGAGGGCGAGAGGAUGGUGGUGUCCGACUUCCACGUCUUCAUCCGGGAUGUGCUCCAGCACGUGGACGCCGUGCAGAAGGACCACCCGGGGCUGCCCGUCUUCCUCCUGGGCCACUCCAUGGGCGGCGCGAUCUGCAUCCUCACGGCCGCGGAGAGGCCGGGCCACUUCUCGGGCAUGGUUCUCAUUUCCCCGCUGGUCGUCGCCAAUCCAGACUCGGCGACACUUUUCAAGGUCUUUGCUGCAAAAGUUCUGAACCUCGUCCUGCCAAACAUGUCCCUGGGCCGGAUCGACUCCAGUGUGCUCUCGAGGAAUAAGACGGAGCUCCUGGCACUACCGUCCUGGAGACAGAGCAGCCGCCCCUCGGCCUCUUCUGCGUCUCCUCGGAUUUCCAGCCCCACCGACAUUCUGAACGUUUCACCCUCGACCACGGCUUCCUCAGAACGCCGUGAGGCCCUCCCACUCGGAAAAGCCAUGCAUGUUCCACAUAGUUGUCCGGCCAAGGCCGCCAGCAUGGGAUGCAAGGAGGAGGGGCCGUGGGGCACUCCCGGCACCCACAAACCUCCGACUGCUCACGGCAGGGGCCCCCAGCCCCCCUCCAGCUCUUCCGCCGGGAGCACCCCCAGUCCUGUGCCGAGGCAGUCUCCCUUCCAGAACCCAGUCUGUGUUCUCUGUUGCUGCACCAGGACGCCCUCCAAGUGCCUCCUGGCUGGUUGGCACGCACGCUGGCCGGCCGUAUGGUGGACAUCUACAACACGGACCCCCUGGUCUGCCGGGCGGGGCUCAAAGUCUGCUUCGGCAUCCAGCUGCUCAACGCGGUGUCGCGGGUGGAGCGGGCGCUGCCCAAGCUGACGCUGCCUUUCCUGCUGCUGCAGGGCUCCGCCGACCGCCUCUGCGAUAGCAGGGGCGCCUACCUGCUCAUGGAGUCGGCCAAGAGCCAGGACAAGACGCUCAAGAUUUACGAAGGUGCCUACCACAUCCUCCACAAAGAGCUUCCCGAGGUGACCAGCUCUGUCUUCCGGGAGAUAAACACGUGGGUCUCGCAAAGGACAGCGGUGGAGGGAACGGGGUGCCCGCCCUGAGCCCCCCGGCCAGCUGCGGGGCCGCUGUCGGGAAGCGGGCAGAGGAAGGGCAGGGGCUGGCUUCUCAGACGUGGCCGAGAAACACACACACACACCCCCAGAUUGGAGGAAUCCCUAGCACAACUGACUCAGACAGUCUUGUCACCUGUCAGGCUGUCCACCACUGGAUCUGCCUUAAACGGUGGACGCUUUAUGCAAAAACUGGAGGUCAGGGCACUUUCCAGAGAAGUGCUGGAAGGCCUGAGGCCACACGGAGCCCUGCCCCACCUCUCCCGCCCUGCAGGGUCCCAGGAACCCCCCCCAACCCCAGCAAUAAUUGGAGGGCGCCCUCCCGCCGCCCUGCACCCUGCCUGUGCCCCUCUGGCCAUGGGACAUGGGGCAGGUCCACUGUCCUGGCUGACUUGCGUGCCUGUGGAGGCCCGGAAGUGCCUGCGGGCCCACCCUGGCCCGAGUCAGCUGUGAGCCCUGGGGGCUGGGCUGGGCCAGGGGAGGGGGGCCUGGGCGUGGGAAGGGGACCACCCCCCGCCCCGCUCCCGGGCGUGUGGGGGCGGCCGCUGCUCCUUGAGGGCUCACCCGACGUUUGGAGGGCCGCUGUGCUGGACGUCUGUUCAGACGCGGAGGCUGUGGGAGGGAAGCAGGGGUCUUGACGGCGCUGGGCUGGAGCCGGUCCCAGGUGGUGCCCCGCCCGAGGCCCCGCCCAAGGCCCCAGCAGGAAGGGCGAUCGGGGCCCCUGCAGCCACCCCUUACUGGUGCCCUGCCCGCAUCCCCCACCCCUUGGCCCUCCCUGCUCUGGCCGGCACGGUAAUCGGGGGCCCCCGCUGCCCAGGGGGUGCUUUCGCUAUCCGUGUGAGCGUGGUGGGGGCGCUGCAACCUGGGAGGGGAAGGCGUGGCCCCUGGACCUGGGGCUGGGUGGAGCUCGGCCCAGUCCUCCAGAAGCAGGAGCCGCUGCCCCGCUGCGUCCUGCUCUUCUGGGGAGGUCCCCCGCCUCCAUUCCAGGGCCCCCAGCGCACGCUGAGCCAGAGUGGGCCCCCUGGCGAAGGAGCCACGUGGGCUCGUGGGGGGACCGGCCAGGUCCCCAUGGAGAGUGGCUUCAUUGACCUGUUUCCCUUUGGAGGAGGAAAAAGAAUGUAGAAAAUGCCGUGGGGGCUCCACCCGUGGUCCUCCGGGGCCAAGGAGCCGUAGAGAUGCCACGCACCAGCCCACACCCACCCACCGCCACGCCGCGUAUGGAAAUGUCACCACGGCGGGCCGCUUCCCAAGCCCAACGCCGGGCGGGCACGUGGUCCGACCAGGAGUCUUUCAACGCAUGGACUUAUUUUCUUCAAAAGCUUUCAGAGAUGCACAUUCAGCCGUCUUCAGCGAUCUGGUCAAAGAAUCGCCCAUAUUUGAAAGAUGUUCCUCGGAUCGGGGACUGUUUUCCUCACCGGGUGGGCCGGGGCACGCCCUCCACGGUCAGGGUGCGGGCAGCCGUGUCUGGGCCCCGUCCUGGCAGUACCAGCGAGUGCUGAAUCAGGGUUGCCUGCCAUGCUGAACCCAGAGCCCCUGGGCCGCACCCGCCCGGCCCUCAGUGGUGCAGGGGAGCCGGGUGUGCAUAGGCGGCAAGGCCGCACAGGCCUGGGCCUGAGGCGGGCAGAGCACUGAGGCCAGGGAGGGGCGGGCGGCCGAGCCCGUGUGGACCCAUCACUCAGGCUGCCUGGGCCAUGGGAGGUGGUUCUGUGCGGACGGGCUUUCCAGAAGAUGCUGCCCACGGCUACCGGGGGUCCUGGCCCCCUGGGCCCUCUCUUGCUGGGGACGGGGUGCUGACCCUGGCAUGCCCUUGGCCCUGGUGCUCGGAGCCCCCCGCAGGCCCCGUCCCCCUCGCCGACUGCUGACUCCCCACAUUGGACCACAGCGACUUCCCACGCAAUUUCCUGGUUUGCUGUCAUGCCCACGGCUCAGCCGCCUCCCUCCACGUCCGCUGUCAGUGGGGCCCUGUGUGUCAGGUAACAGAUAAUGCGGGACCGACACAGCUAACCCUAAUAAACCAUGGUUUCUGCCGCC